UCGAUGAAGUGACGAAAUUUUUUUCAUCUGAAUUUGAAGUGAGGGUGGAUCAAUUCUUAUCGUUUGCAAGUAGCCAAGAUACAGUUCGGAAUAAUGGGGGUAAGUUUCUCUGUCCAUGUAGUGUUUGUAAGAACAAUAGAUGUCUCUCGGGUAGAAGAGUUAUGAGUCAUCUGUUUAGUAAUGGAUUUAUGCCAGAUUAUUAUGUUUGGUAUAACCACGGAGAAGAAAUCAAUUUGGAUAUAGGAAGUAGUUACAUUGAUAGGACGCAUGAUGGGAGUCAUGAAGAAAUGGGUAAUGUAGUAGAAGAUCCAUAUGUGGAUAUGGUGAAUGAUGCAUUUCGUUAUAAUGUGGGUUUAGAUGAUAAUUAUCAUCAAAAUGAUAGUUAUGAGAAUGUGGAAGAACCGGUACAAAACCAUUCACAUAAAUUUUACGACUUGUUAGAUAGUGCAAAAACUCUUUUAUAUGAUGGUUGUUGUGAAGGUCACUUGCAAUUGUCAUUAGCUGCUCGAGUCAUGCAAAAUAAGGCGGAGUAUAAUAUGAGUGAAAAGUUAGUAGAUUCGGUUUGCGGAAUUUUGACAGAUUAUUUACCAGAAGGCAACCAGUCUACCGGUUCAAAUUACGAGACAGAGAAAUUGAUGCGUAAUUUAGGCCUUCCAUAUUAUACAAUUGAUGUUUGUAUUAACAAUUGUAUGAUUUUCUGGAAAGAAGACGAAAAGGAAGAGACAUGUCUAUUUGGUGGUUCACCAAGAUGGAAGCCUAAGGAGGACCGACGGAGAACAAGAGUAUCAUAUAGUCGUAUGUGGUAUCUACCUAUUGCUGAUAGGUUGAAGAGAAUGUAUCAGAGCCAAAAGACUGCAGCGGCAAUGAGAUGGCAUGCAGAACACCAAUAAAAAGAGGGUGUAAUGAAUCAUCCUUCUGAUGCGGCGGAGUGGAGAUAUUUCCAAGAGCUUAAUCCUUGGUUAUCAGAAGAACCCCAUCACGUCUACCUUAGAUUAUGUACCGAUGGGUUCAAUCCAUUUGGCAUGUCUCGUAAUCAUUCGCUGUGGCCUGUGAUCUUGACCUUAUAUAAUUUACCCCCUGGUAUGUGAAUGAAUAUGGAGUACUUGUUUCUUACAAUUCUGAAUUCUGCGCCAAAUCAUCCGCGAGCUAGCCUCGAUAUCUUCCUACAACCUCUUAUUGAGGAGUUAAAAGAGUUGUGGUCUACUGGAGUCGAUGCAUACGAUGUGUCUUUGAAUCAAAACUUUAAUCUAAAAGCAGUGCUGAUGUGGACGAUAAGCUACUUUCCGGCGUAUAGCAUAUUAUCGGGAUGGACCACCGACGGUAAAUUAUCUUGUCCAAUUUUCAUGGAAAGUACAAAGUCGUUUUAUCUACCCAAAGGAAGGAAGAUAUGUUGGUUUGAUUUUCACCGAAGAUUCUUGCCUCAUGGUCAUCAAUUAAGGAAGAACAAAAAAGAUUUCCUGAAGGGAAGAGACGGUUCUAACAACUAUCCACCGCAGUCUUUAACUGGUGAGCAAGCUUAUUACGAGCGUUUGAAAUGUGUAAAAAACCAGGGAAGUCGGUGGUAACGGUCAUGAAAAGAAGAUGCCAGGCUAUGGAAAGGAACAUAAUUGGCACAAAGAAAGCUUAUCAUGGUCGCUACCUUAUUGGAAAGACCCAAUCUCCGACAUAAUAUUGAUGUGAUGCAUACCGAGAAGAAUUUUGUGGACAACAUCUUGUAUACUCUUAUGAGUGUACAUGGUAAAUCUAAAGACAACAUCAUGUCAAGAUUGGACAUAGAACAAUUUUGUUCUCGACCACACUUACAUAUUGAUAGGAAGGGUAAAGCUCCAUUCCCAGCAUAUACAUUGACAAAGGAAGCCAAAACAAGUUUAUUGGAAUGUGUCAAGCAUGCGGUGAAAUUUCCAGAUGGUUAUUCGUCAGACUUGGCUAGUUGUGUUGAUUUGAUCAAUGGCAAGUUUUCAGGAAUGAAGAGUCAUGAUUGCCAUGUUUUUAUGGAGCGACUUCUUCUAUUUAUCUUCACAAAACUCCUAGACCGAAACGUUCACCUUGCAUUAUCAGGGAUUGGAGCAUUUUUCAGGGACUUAUGCUCAAGAACAUUGCAAAAAAAUCGCAUUCAAAUUCUUAAACAUAACAUUGUUUUGAUCUUAUGCAACUUAGAAAAGAUAUUUCCACCAUCAUUUUUUGAUGUGAUGGAGCACCUGCCUAUACAUUUCCCAUAUGAAGCAGAAUUGGGAGGCCCUGUCCAAUAUAGGUGGACGUAUCCUUUUGAAUUUUUUUUCAAAAAGUUGAAAGGAAAAGCGAAGAACAAAAGAUAUGCGGCUGGAUCAAUCGUUGAGUCAUAUAUCAAUGACGAUAUUGCUUACUUCUCUGAGCACUACUUUGCCGAUGAUAUACAAAGAAAAUCAAGGUUAACAAGAUUCUAUGAAGGUUGAAGUCCCAAUACAUCAUGUCCCUGGAGUCCCUAAUAUAUUUACUCAUGUCGGUCGUCCAAGUGGGGAAAUGCAUGAAGUAUGGCUUUCAGAGAGAGACUAUUAGUACGCACAUGCAUAUGUUUUAUGGAAUUGUGACUAUUUUCAACCAAUUAAGAGUAUGUUCGAGGAUUUUCUUUCUACCAAAUAUCCUGAAUUAACCGAAAAAGAACUUUCCACGAAAAGAGCUGAAGAAUAUCAUGUGUGGGUGAAAGAUUAUGUUAUAUACUGGAACACCACAAAUCCAUUUUCUACUUGGGUUCAAGAGAUAGUGCAUGGACAUUUACACAAGGUCAAAACUUGGCCAAUAUACUUUACAAGAGGCUAUGUGUUUCAUACGCAGAAUCACGGUGCUGGACGAAAGACAUGUAACUAUGGUGUAUGUGUUAAAGGUGAAAAUUACACUGAUGCAUCUAAUGGUACAGAUUUCUAUGGGAACUUAACUGAUAUCAUAGAACUUGAGCACGAAGGGAUGACCAAUUUGAAAAUCACACUUUUUAAGUGUAAGUGGUAUGAUCUUGUCAUUGGUAGAGGGACUCGGAAGAGCAAUAGUGGCGUUGUUGACGUGAACUCUUCGAGAAAAUUCAACAAAUAUGAGCCAUUCAUUUUAGCAUCUCAAGCAGAUCAAGUUUGCUAUAUUCCGUAUCCAUACACAAAGAAACCAAAGCGGGAGUGGCUAAGUGUUCGGAAACUAAAUCCGAGGGAAAACAUUUCAGGAGAAUAUGAAAACAAUGAACCGACUUUGUUGCAAACAGAAAAUGAUGAUGCUGUAUUGAUGACUACAGUUGAAGAUCUCAUAGUCGAUAGUUUGGUAGAAGACACUAAUCCAAUAAACCUUGAUCGUAAGAUGAAUUGCAGUGUAAUUUAUCAUCUUCUGAUGAUGAAGAACA